rnacentral:rRNA from 1 species
GCCUGGCCCUAAAUCUCGAUGCUCGAUCUUACCGGAGCAUCCGCCCGAGAACUACGAGCACCAACGCUUAAAACUCUAAGGACUUGGCGGUGCCCCAAACCCACCUAGAGGAGCCUGUUCUGUAAUCGAUGAUCCACGAUAUACCUGACCAUUCCUUGCCAAGUCAGCCUAUAUACCGCCGUCGCCAGCCCACCCAGCAUGAAGGACCAACAGUGGACGCAAUAGCCUACCCCGCUAGUAAGACAGGUCAAGGUAUAGCCUAUGGAAUGGAGGCAAUGGGCUACAUUUUCUAAGUUAGAACAUAACGGCAAAGGGAUAUGAAACUGUCCCUGGAAGGAGGAUUUAGCAGUAAAGUGGGACAAUCGAGCCCUCUUUAAGCCGGCCCUGGAGCACGU